AAAAUAGCUCAGUCGGUAGAGCAAUCCUCUCGUAAGGGAUAGGUCGGGGGUUCGAAUCCCUCUUUUAGC
rnacentral:tRNA from 1 species